rnacentral:rRNA from 1 species
UACGUAGGGGGCUAGCGUUGUCCGGAAUCAUUGGGCGUAAAGAGCGUGUAGGCGGCCACUUAAGUCCUGCGUGAAAUCUUGCGGCUCAACCGCAAGCGGUCGUGGGAAACUGGGUGGCUAGAGUGCGGGAGAGGAGAGUGGAAUUCCUGGUGUAGCGGUGGAAUGCGCAGAUAUCAGGAAGAACACCCGUGGCGAAGGCGGCUCUCUGGAACGCAACUGACGCUGAGACGCGAAAGCGUGGGGAGCAAACAGG